rnacentral:lncRNA from 1 species
GAAUGUGGCUGCAGCGACGUUGGUCGCUGGCCGAAGGCAAGGGCGAAGCUUCGCUUUUCUCAGCGGCGUUGGUCGCUGGCCAAAGGCAAGAGCGAAACUUCGCUUUUCUCAGCGGCGUAAAGGCAAGAGCGAAGCUUCGCUUUUCUCAACAGCGUUGGUCGCUGGCCAAAGGCAAGAGCGAAGCUUCGCUUUUCUCACUGCUCUGAUACCAUGAUAGAAAUAAUAGAAGAUAAGAACAAAUAUUGAAUGAAGCUUUGAUAGAAAUAAUAGAAGAUAAGAACAAAUAUUGAAUGAAGCUUUAUUGAAUAGUUGAAGAUGCUUCAAUACAUUAACAUGUUCCCUCUCCUAUUUAUACAAAUUAGGAGGAAGGAUUUCCCUAACAGAAUAGAGGAUUUUCCUCAACAGAAUAGAGAAAUUUCCUCAUAUAGUUAGGAAAAUCUUAUCUUCUAUCAA